GGAGACAGAACUGCCUCCUGCCCCCAUGAAUAAAUACAAAUGUUACAGAGAAGGUUAGCAGGGGCCCUGCACAAGAAUGACACAAAUUCUUAAAGCAUUCCUCU
rnacentral:snRNA from 14 species